GUAGAUGUAGCUCAGUUGGGAGAGCAUCUGACUGUUAAUCAGAAUGUCGCAGGUUCGAGGCCUGCCAUCUACC
rnacentral:tRNA from 1 species